GCUUCCUGAUGUGGGAGAAAAAGGGAUGACAGUCAACGUGCAUCCAUGGGACUGUGUGGUCUAGUCUCCGUAGAGACCCGGAGGCGGAGCUGCAGAGCAGAGCUCGGGGCACAAGAGGAGCUGCGCGGGCGGGUCCACCUGCGGCCCUCAGCCCUCCUGCCGGCAGGAGGCUGAGCUCGGCGAGCGCCGCACGGAACCCUGACGACAGGUGCGUUUGGCUCCGCCGACGGCCGCGCGGGGGGAGGGGAGCCCGGCUCACAAAGGAGUCCCCCUGCAGAGCAACCCCAGUUGCAUCCCACCGUUUGUAGAGCUUUC
rnacentral:lncRNA from 1 species